rnacentral:tRNA from 1 species
GCCUCUGUAGCAUAGUAGCUAUUGCGUUGGACUUGUAAUCCAAAGGUCGUGGGUGCAAUUCCCACCAGAGGCU